rnacentral:rRNA from 1 species
GGAUUAGAUACCCUGGUAGUCCACACUGUAAACGGUGAUCACUAUGUGUUCGGGGAUUUAGCUCCUGAGUGCUGUAGCGAAAGCGUUAAGUGAUCCACCUGGGGAGUACGAUCGCAAGAUUGAAACUCAAAGGAAUUGACGGGGGCUCGCACAAGCGGUGGAGCAUGUGGUUUAAUUCGAUGAUACGCGAGGAACCUUACCUAGGCUUAAAUGGCAUUUUAGGUUUUCCGAAAGGAAGACUACUUCGCAAGAAGAGGUGUCAAGGUGCUGCAUGGUUGUCGUCAGCUCGUGUUG